GAUGAACGCUGGCGGCGUGCCUAAUACAUGCAAGUCGAGCGAACGGACGAGAAGCUUGCUUCUCUGAUGUUAGCGGCGGACGGGUGAGUAACACGUGGAUAACCUACCUAUAAGACUGGGAUAACUUCGGGAAACCGGAGCUAAUACCGGAUAAUAUUUUGAACCGCAUGGUUCAAAAGUGAAAGACGGUCUUGCUGUCACUUAUAGAUGGAUCCGCGCUGCAUUAGCUAGUUGGUAAGGUAACGGCUUACCAAGGCAACGAUGCAUAGCCGACCUGAGAGGGUGAUCGGCCACACUGGAACUGAGACACGGUCCAGACUCCUACGGGAGGCAGCAGUAGGGAAUCUUCCGCAAUGGGCGAAAGCCUGACGGAGCAACGCAGCGUGAGUGAUGAAGGUCUUCGGAUCGUAAAACUCUGUUAUUAGGGAAGAACAUAUGUGUAAGUAACUGUGCACAUCUUGACGGUACCUAAUCAGAAAGCCACGGCUAACUACGUG
rnacentral:rRNA from 1 species